AGAAAAGCUGAAAAGUUAUUUUCCGUCACCUUGACGUUUGACAUGACAAAUUCUCAGUUGGAAAAUACAGUUAGAAAAUCAAUACUUUAGAAUGCAAUAUGAAUCUGAUAUUCCAUUGAGAGAAUUCAAAUCAGAAGAAGCUGAACAAAGACAACAUCGAAGUCUACCGGAGCAGAUCCCAAUUAUCUCUGUGAAUUCACCAGCUAGAGGAUUUAGGCCAAUAUUUGAUACGAGAAAUGAAGUAAGCCCCAUAUUGAAGAGUAUUUCAGUCACAAAUUCGCAAAAAGGAAAUGAUAGAACUCUGGAUUAUGAAGAAGAUUUGAAAAAAAUUAUAGAGUUUGAACAAAUCCCACUUGUCAGUCAUCUGUCAAUUUGCAACGCAACCAAAUUCUCUGUUCCAUCCCAAAAACUCCAUACAAUGAAAAAUGAGCUUCACCCAAAGACGAUUUUCACUGAAUAAGCUUUCUGAAUGCCCUGCCGCUGUUAACUACUUCAACGAUGAAUGAGUAAUCGUGGCAGUGAUUUCAACCUAGACAAGUAUCCUGAUGUUCUGAAUUUAGAAUCAAAUCUCCGGAGGUUACUCGGCGGCAGUUUACAAUUUUCUCAACCAGAGUUUGUAUUAACUGAAACUCCACAUUCUACGAAGGAAGACGUUGCACCAAUAUUGGCAAACUUUUCUCCGAUUGACUUUGAAGCGGUAAUUCAUGAUCCGAUUCUAGAAUCCUCAACGGCAUCAAUAACUACUACUGAAGAACAGAAAACUCCAUCUAUAUCGGAGUCCAAAUCUGAAGAACCUGAUUCUGUUGAGUACGAGCGAGACCUGGAAGUCAUAAAGCGUUUUGAAGGAUAUCACUUCGUUAUAGAAAAGCCUCCCGAGGAGAUAGCAAAACAAACUCCUGAGAAGAAAUUGCCAAGGAAGAUAAUCAGAGUUAAAGAGUUUUAUUGCCCCUGUCCUCCAAGAUGAAUAUCCAUUUUGAGGUGCUGAAAAAUGUUGAAGGGUAUUAUUCGGAGAUUUUGAAACAAAUGUUUGAUUUUUUGUUGGUGUAUCAAAUGUUAUAGUGGUCAUUUGUGAAAGUGCGUUUUUCGAAAAUCAUCUCGUUAGGGCCUUCUUAGAAGGUGUGUUCCACAACUACAUACGUCCCACUUUGGUUAUAUCAAAAACUCAAUAUAAAUACGUAGUUUAAUAUAAGAUUGCAGUGAAAAUUGUAGAAAUUAUAUUAUGAAGGAAAAUGAAAUAAACCACGUUGAAUGAUAUCAGCUCAGUCGAAUCAAA